rnacentral:lncRNA from 1 species
AUGGUAAACACAUUCAUCCUAGUAGCACUCCCCAAGUUAAGAAAAAUUCUGCAUAUACACGGAAGUAAGAGAAGGGAGAACAGGGAAGCACAGAGAAAUAUUUUCCCUGGAGGCAUGCCCCGUAUCUCCUCCACAUCUGUGAGUAAUAAACUUCUCUUUUUCACUUUCUCUUGUGGUCUUUCAUUGAACCAUGGCUCACCAUCUGACACCUCGGGGCUCUACUUAGCAAAUGUGAAUUUCACAAAGUUACAACAAAUUCUUAUUGCAUAAGUAAAUUACUUUAAAGUUUUAAUUUAAGCAAUGAAUAUACCUAAUUAUUUUUUCCAGGCCCAUUCAGCUAUGUAUUUUCAUGUCCACUGUCUAAAAAUAUAGAAUUCCAUUCCCAUUAUAUGGUGAAAAAUUCAAACAAACAAACAGAAGCAACAAAAAGAAACCAACCAAUCUGCAAACAAAUAGAAACAAACUGGAUUGAAAGUCAGGGGAAUUCAGUUCUCUUUCUGGCUUUUACAUAUGCUAGCUACUGGAUUUUAAACAAGUCAAGAUAUCACUCUGGGACUGAGCUUUCUCAUUUUCCUAAUCAAAAUGCUGCAUAAGAUACCAUUAGGCUGUUUUCAAAUUUGCCUUUGCUUUUUAUCUUGUUAUGGGCAAAUAAUAACAAUAGUAACCAUAACAACCACCACCACCACAGAACGAUUUUCCUAAUUUUAAAUUCAUGGUAUAAAAUAUAUACAAUUAUUGCAAAUGUAUAGUCCGUUCCUAACAUCAGGAGAGCAAACCUGAGGAAGGAGUUGGACUACAGGCCAGAUGAGGGAGCAGGCACAUAAGAGAUAUCAAGUUUUGGCUGCUUACAAUAUGCAUCACACAGUUUUGCUUGGACACUCUUUUACUUUAGUAUUUUUCCAUCAUAAUUUUAAUGGACAACAUGCCAACCAACAUUUGACCUUAAAGCAGAUUUAGGAAAGCACUGAUCUUGAGCAAUGUGGUAGGAUCCUUCCUCUGAGGUCACCCUAAAUAUAUACUUCUUUCUUUUCUCCUUUGCAGACAGAAUGCCAUGCUGGGUGAUUUGAAGAAGAAAGUACUGAGUGCAGAUUACAACACUUUUAAGACAUUAUAAGAUUACCAAUUCAAAGCCAUAUUUUCUUUUAUUUCUAAACUUCAGACACAUUUUGGGGGUACUUUUCUCUUAGAAAAUGAAAUUUACUGAGGGUUACAGUUUAAUCUGUUAAUUCAGUGAAUUUGGUAAAAUAUUCCACAAUGACGGAAUCAGAUU